rnacentral:rRNA from 1 species
UACGGGAGGCAGCAGUGGGGAAUAUUGGGCAAUGGGCGAAAGCCUGACCCAGCAACGCCGCGUGAAGGAUGAAGGUCUUCGGAUUGUAAACUUCUUUGAUUGGGGAAGAAUAAAUGGCCUACCCAAAGAACAAGUCACGGCUAACUACGUGCCAGCAGCCGCGGUAAU